UACAGAGGUCUCAAGCGUUGUUCGGAUUCAUUGGGCGUAAAGGGUGUGUAGGUGGCGCCGUAAGUGGGGUGUGAAAUCUCGGGGCUUAACUCCGAAACUGCAUUCCAUACUGCGGUGCUUGAGGACUGGAGAGGAGACUGGAAUUCAUGGUGUAGCAGUGAAAUGCGUAGAGAUCAUGAGGAAGACCAGUGGCGAAGGCGGGUCUCUGGGCCGAUACUGACGCUGAGGAGCGAAAGCGUGGGGAGCGAACAGG
rnacentral:rRNA from 1 species